rnacentral:rRNA from 1 species
UAUCAAGGCCAUGCCACCCUGAACAAGCCUGAUUCCGCCUGAUCUCGGAAGCUAAGCAGGGUCGGACCUGGUUAG